rnacentral:lncRNA from 1 species
CCUUUCCUUGAACUCAUUUGUAUGAUGGUUUCCCUUUAUUACAUCUUGAUCUCAGAAGUUUAUCCAUGACUCGGCCUUCUUGCACUACCCACCUGAUGUGAGACUGGAAUCAAGGGGGUAGAAUACCUUUUGGAAUUGAUAAACAUGUCAUUACAUUUACAUAUUCAUUGUCAUAUCUUGCAUAACAGGUACCGCUGCGGUGUUCUCAUAUUGUUUGGUGUUCCACUAGCAGGAUAGCUGACUCAGGCAUUCACCGAUACGGUACCCGGAGGAAUCAACAGAGAGCAAUGGAAGGUGUACAAGCAGAGCUCGCUGAGAUGAGGGCCCGCAUGACCCAAUUCAUGGAUGUGGUUCAAGGGGUGGCUCAGGGACAACAAGAGCUCAGGCAGAU